CCCUUAGAUGUUCUGGGCCGCACGCGCGCUACGCUGACGAAGUCAGCGAGCAUGUCCUACGCCGACAGGUGCGGGGAAUCUUGUCAAACUUCGUCGUGAUGGGGAUUGAUUUUUGAAAUUCUUGAUCAUAAACGAGGAAUUCCUAGUAAGCGCAAGUCAGCAGCUUGCGUUGAUUACGUCCCUGCCCUUUGUACACACCGCCCGUCGCUACUACCGAUUGAAUGGUUUAGUGAGAUCUUCGGAUUGGCGCCACUGCAGCUCAGCAAUGGGCUUGGUGGAUGCCGAAAAGUUGAUCAAACUUGAUCAUUUAGAGGAAGUAAAAGUCGUAACA
rnacentral:rRNA from 1 species